GUGGGGAAUCUUCCGCAAUGGACGAAAGUCUGACGGAGCAACGCCGCGUGAGUGAAGAAGGUUUUCGGAUCGUAAAGCUCUUUCGUUAGGGACGAACGUGCUCUUUGUGAAUAAUGAGGAGUAAUGACGGUACCUAAAUAAGAAGCCACGGCUAACUACGUGCCAGCAGCCGCGGUAAUACGUAGGUGGCAAGCGUUGCCCGGAAUUAGUGGGCGUAAAGCGCGCGCAGGCGGGAUAUCAAGUCUGUCGUAAAAGUGCGAGGCUCAACCUCGUGAGGGGACAGAAACUGGUAUUCUUGAGUGUCGGAGAGGAAAGUGGAAUUCCAAGUGUAGCGGUGAAAUGCGUAGAGAUUUGGAAGAACACCAGUGGCGAAGGCGACUUUCUGGACGAUGUCUGACGCUGAGGCGCGAAAGCUAGGGGAGCGAACGGGAUUAGAAACCCGUGUAGUCC
rnacentral:rRNA from 1 species